GAACAUGGUUCAAAUUGCAUUGCUGUCUCAAAUUUGACUUAUUUUAUAAUUCAAAAAAAUUAGAGCGAUGGUGUAAUGUCAUUUGAAGAUUCAUGACGGCGGACGACUCCCAUACUAUCUUAACUGAACAUUCAAACUCAAAACUAACAAAAUACUAUUCGUGAGUGAUCACAUGUCGACGACGUAACAACUUUUAAUGAAUGACUCUAAAUUCUUCGGAUAAAUAUAUGUUUACAAAACAAUCUGUAUGGAAUGCUAGCAUCGUGUAUAUAUUUAUUGAUAAGUAAAAUAUGACAAAGGUUUGCUUGUUUAAUGUCAUAAAUGCCAUAGUUGUUUUACCUAUUAGAUCGUACUUGAUAUAAUGCU
rnacentral:lncRNA from 1 species